UAGUCAACCCUGACCCCGAUUGUUCGUCAACGGAACGGAUUCCCCUAGCAUUCAUCAAAAUUGAAGGAAAUUCGCUACACCGCUUGGCAUCCGAUGGAACGGCUAAAGAAAAAUUCAAGAAGAACCAAUCAGACAUAUGGAUCAUUAAUUUUGGCUGCCCGUUCUUGCGAGGAAUCAGCCAACACCGAACUCGAUCGUUUGCCAGUGCGACACAUUUUAGCAGAAUUCGAGAAAAAUGGAAUCUUCUAUUCCUCUGCUGUACAGCAGACGGAAUUUCCGAUAUAGGAUCCCAGGAGGAAAGCAAGCCAAACAACCUGAUUGUCCUGCCCAGUUACCC